UUUCGCGCGAGUCGUUCGAUCGUACAAUAUAAUAUAUAUUACAAUGUUUAAAUGAACGAUGUCGACGUGACAACGCGAUUUUGAACUGCAUACAAAAGCGGCGCUCGAUAUGACGUCAAAUUAUUAUUAUUAUUAUUUCAUAGCAAAUUUGAAAAACUAGCUGUAUACCGUUAACUGAUGUGCGACGAAAUUUCGACAAAGCAAGUCUUGGAUGAUCCCUUAAAUCACCUCUGUGCUUCGGUUCAAGGAAACGUAUACCUACUAUAAGAUAAACACUCUUUUUUUCGAGGAUUACGACGUACCAGCCACCACGUACAUUUCACAGAUGGGACCGGAGAAUAGCUGGCUGCAACGAAUAAGAUGGCGUUUCGUACUUUAUUACUCUAAUUAUUAUUUAACUUCUAUGCUGCUCGGCUGUUCUCUUAAUUAUAUUUAACUCAACGAUGGCGUCGAUGUGAUCGAAUCUAUAUUGCGUACCUAAGUAUUACAGCAUACAAUAUGAAUAUACUGAGUGAUGCGCAAUUUUAUAUUUUUAUGAUGUAUAAAAAUUAAUUUGGAAUAUUUUUUUUUUACUUUGGUUGAAAAAAUAUAAUAAAAUAAUAUAAUAGGUGAACCUAACCUAACCUAUUUUAGUUGUAUUAUUAUUAUUUGUUGAGUUUUAUAUUUAAAAGAUACAUUAUGUACAUAGUAUAUAAUAUAUAUUAUAUAUAAGAUAUAUAAAAGUAUAAUGUGCUAAAUAUAAUGUGUGCUGUUAGGUUCUAAAUAUAUUUGUUUUACAAUGAUGUGUAUUUUUUCAACUUAAACUUUUUACUAAACAUUUGUAAUAGCAUUUUAUAAACUUAAAAUAAUUUUCAAAAUAUUUUAAUUCUUUUAGUGUUGUAUAAUAUAUAUGCAUUUAAAAUUACGAUUUAAUUACGAAAAUUAAGAUCACAAAACUUUGUAAAUUAUUUUUUAGUUAAAAAUUCAUAAAAAUUUGAUUAUUAAUUGUUAAGGUUUAGAAAUGAAUAAACAGUUUCUUAAAAUUUUCCCUUACUAGAAUAAUGAAAAAUAAGUUAAGUAUAAUUAUACCGACAAUUAUUUA